rnacentral:tRNA from 11 species
GGCCAGGUAGCUCAGUUGGUAGAGCAGCGGACUGAAAAUCCGCGUGUCGGUGGUUCGAUUCCGCCCCUGGCCACCA